UGGGGAAUUUUGCACAAUGGGGGAAACCCUGAUGCAGCGACGCCGCGUGAUUUAGAAGGCCUUCGGGUUGUAAAAAUCUUUUCUAUGGGAAGAAAAUGACAGUACCAUAGGAAUAAGGACCGGCUAAUUACGUGCCAGCAGCCGCGGUAAUACGUAAGGUCCGAGCGUUGUCCGGAAUCAUUGGGCGUAAAGGGUACGUAGGCGGGUAAGCAAGUUAGAAGUGAAAUCCUAUAGCUCAACUAUAGUAAGCUUUUAAAACUGCUCAUCUUGAGGUAUGGAAGGGAAAGUGGAAUUCCUAGUGUAGCGGUGAAAUGCGCAGAUAUUAGGAGGAAUACCGGUGGCGAAGGCGACUUUCUGGCCAUAACCUGACGCUGAGGUAUGAAAGCGUGGGUAGCAAACAGG
rnacentral:rRNA from 1 species